AGUUCUGAUGAAAGGCUGACUUGAAAAGUUAACUAAUUAUCUGGCUCCACACAUACUUUCUGAUUUGGUGAACUUUUCAGGAGCAUUGCCAUGUAAGGAAUUAUCCUGCCAAAUGGCCAGAAGCUUGAUUAAAGAGAACUGAGAAGAGAACAGAGAAGAAUCAAAUGGACAGUCUUGGGGAAUGAAUCCUUUGUCUUACAGUCUCUGAAGCCUGGAUUUGCUCAAUAUCUAUGGCUUACACAAAUGACUGCAUCAAUGACACAUAACCAACUGGACAAAAUAAAGCUUCUCAUGAAGAACAGCCUUCCACUGACCCAAGAUAACAAAGUGUGGAGCUGGAUGAACACAGCAGGCCAAGCAUCAUCUUAGGAGCACAAAAGCUCACGUUUUGGGCCUAGACCUUCAUUUUUCUUGCUAUGAAUCCGUCAAAGGACGAUAACGCAGCUGCAUCAUUCUAUCUUUCUGUCUAGUGCAAGACUACAGAGAAAGUAUGUACCGUAAACCUAUGAAAUUGGACCUGGUGUUGCCAUCGUAGCAAAAGAAACAAAACAGCGCAGCAUGCCCAUUGCAUUAAAGACGUUUUACGAAUUUGUCGGAUAAAAGGAAGAGAAAAGCAAAUAUAAUA